GACGAACGCUGGCGGCGUGCUUAACACAUGCAAGUCGAACGGUAAGGCCCUUCGGGGUACACGAGUGGCGAACGGGUGAGUAACACGUGAAUUACAUGCCCUAUAGUGGGGAAUAGCCCAGAGAAACUUGGAUUAAUACCCCAUGUAUCGAAAGAUUAAAGGUGGCCGCAAGGCUGUCGCUAUAGGAUUGGUUCGCGCCCUAUCAGCUUGUUGGUGAGGUAACGGCUCACCAAGGCAAUGACGGGUACCUGGUCUGAGAGGACGAUCAGGCACACUGGAACUGAGACACGGUCCAGACACCUACGGGUGGCAGCAGUCGAGAAUAAUUCACAAUGGGGGCAACCCUGAUGGUGCAACGCCGCGUGGAGGAUGACGGUCUUCGGAUUGUAAACUCCUGUCAUCUGGGAGAAAGACCUGACGGUAAAUAGCCGGCAGGGUUGAUAGUACCAGAAGAGGAAGGGACGGCUAACUUCGUGCCAGCCGCCGCCGUAA
rnacentral:rRNA from 1 species